GAAAUGCGAUAAGUAAUGUGAAUUGCAGAAUUCCGUGAAUCAUCGAGUCUUUGAACGCACAUUGCGCUCUCUGGUAUUCCGGGGAGCAUGCCUGUCCGAGCGUCAUUUGCAACCCUCAAGCCCGGCUUGUGUGAUGGGCCAGCGUCCCCACGACCUUUCUCGGAGAUGGGACGGGCCCGAAAUGCAGUGACGGUGUCGAGGUAGACGACCCAAGUGUAUGGGGCUCUGUCACACGCUUGCGGUAUGCCUUCGACACCCGUCUGACCUCUUAAAUGGUCAACCCCCUCUUCUAAGGUUGACCUCGGAUCAGGUAGGGAUACCCGCUGAACUUAAGCA
rnacentral:misc_RNA from 1 species